GCGUUGUUCGGAUUCACUGGGCGUAAAGGGUGCGUAGGUGGCCAGGUAAGUUUGGUGUGAAAGCUCGGAGCUUAACUCCGAAAUGUCAUUGAAUACUAUCUGGCUGGAGGGUCGGAGGGGAGACUGGAAUUCUCGGUGUAGCAGUGAAAUGCGUAGAUAUCGAGAGGAACACCAGUGGCGAAGGCGAGUCUCUGGACGACUCCUGACACUGAGGCACGAAAGCUAG
rnacentral:rRNA from 1 species